rnacentral:misc_RNA from 1 species
GAAAUGCGAUAAGUAAUGUGAAUUGCAGAAUUCCGUGAAUCAUCGAAUCUUUGAACGCACAUUGCGCCCUCUGGCAUUCCGGGGGGCAUGCCUGUCCGAGCGUCAUUACGCACCCUCAAGCCCGGUUUGUGUGAUGGGCCCCGGCGUCUCGUUCGCGAGACGGACCCGAAAGGCAGCGGCGGCGUCGACCCGAUGAGCCCGAGCGUAUGGGGACUUCUGUCACACGUUCGCGGUGCGGACCGGCGCCUGCUUGACUUUUCUGAUUAUCCAGGUUGACCUCGGAUCAGGUAGGGAUACCCGCUGAACUUAAGC